AUUCUAACUAGUAUAGGGCUGA
rnacentral:snRNA from 1 species